rnacentral:rRNA from 1 species
UGGGGAAUUUUGGACAAUGGGGGAAACCCUGAUCCAGCCAUCCCGCGUGUGCGAUGAAGGCCUUCGGGUUGUAAAGCACUUUUGGCAGGAAAGAAACGUCAUGGGUUAAUACCCCGUGAAACUGACGGUACCUGCAGAAUAAGCACCGGCUAACUACGUGCCAGCAGCCGCGGUAAUACGUAGGGUGCAAGCGUUAAUCGGAAUUACUGGGCGUAAAGCGUGCGCAGGCGGUUCGGAAAGAAAGAUGUGAAAUCCCAGAGCUCAACUUUGGAACUGCAUUUUUAACUACCGGGCUAGAGUGUGGCAGAGGGAGGUGGAAUUCCGCGUGUAGCAGGGAAAUGCGUAGAUAUGCGGAGGAACACCGAUGGCGAAGGCAGCCUCCUGGGAUAACACUGACGCUCAUGCACGAAAGCGUGGGGAGCAAACAGG